rnacentral:rRNA from 1 species
CAGACGGGUGAGUAACGCGUGGGAAUCUACCCUUUUCUACGGAAUAACGCAGGGAAACUUGUGCUAAUACCGUAUGAGCCCUUCGGGGGAAAGAUUUAUCGGGAAAGGAUGAGCCCGCGUUGGAUUAGCUAGUUGGUGGGGUAAAGGCCUACCAAGGCGACGAUCCAUAGCUGGUCUGAGAGGAUGAUCAGCCACAUUGGGACUGAGACACGGCCCAAACUCCUACGGGAGGCAGCAGUGGGGAAUAUUGGACAAUGGGCGCAAGCCUGAUCCAGCCAUGCCGCGUGAGUGAUGAAGGCCCUAGGGUUGUAAAGCUCUUUCACCGGUGAAGAUAAUGACGGUAACCGGAGAAGAAGCCCCGGCUAACUUCGUGCCAGCAGCCGCGGUAAUACGAAGGGGG